ACAGUGGAGAGUACUGGUGUCGAGCUAAAAGGGGGAGCAAACCGUUUUACUCACAAUACAGCAAUGCUGUCAAUAUACAAGAUUCAGGUUUCCUGCGUAUCGCUGGUGGUAGGUCAAGGAUAACCUGGGAUCAGGAUCAGGAGCAGUCAGCAGAGGGG